rnacentral:rRNA from 1 species
CCUACGUGGGGCAGCAGUGAGGAAUAUUGGUCAAUGGACGCAAGUCUGAACCAGCCAAGUAGCGUGCAGGAUGACGGCCCUCCGGGUUGUAAACUGCUUUUAGUUGGGAAUAAAAGGGGGCUCGUGAGCCCCGUAUUGUAUGUACCAUCAGAAAAAGGACCGGCUAAUUCCGUGCCAGCAGCCGCGGUAAUACGGAAGGUCCGGGCGUUAUCCGGUUUUAUUGGGUUUAAAGGGAUCGUAGGCCGGCGUUUAAGUCAGCUGGGAAAGUACGCGUCUCAACCGUGGAAUUGAAGUUGAAACGAGAGGCCUUGAGUGGACACAAGGAUGCCGGAAUUCAUGGUGUAGCGGUGAAAUGCUUAGAUAUCAUGAAGAACUCCGAUCGCGAAGGCAAGUGUCCGGGGUGCAACUGACGCUGAGGCUCGAAAGUGCGGGUAUCAAACAGGAUUAGAUACCCCAGUAGUC